UGAAGUUUGACAAUCUCAGGCCGACUCACUAAACAAAUUAAUUUAUACGUUCCAAUAAAAAUAAACACGACUUCUACUGUACAUACAUUAGUUUUAAGGAAUAACGACAACCAAUUUUCUAUUCAUCACCAAAAUUUAAAACCCUAAAUAACAAAACUAUUUCGUUCUUUGUAAGUAAAAAAAAAAAUUUUAAAUUCCUUUUUUUUGAAUUUUGAUCUGUCAGAAAAAUUAAUUCGAACUCUCAUUUACUGUAUGAGUGCAACAAAGAUAAUUCUGUGAGAUAUAAUAGGUGACAUUUACCCGUAAAAAUAAAUAAUAAAAAAAAUGGAUAUUUUAAACUCCGAAUUUGAUGUACCAAUGAAAUACAUGCAAUCAAUCGAUGGAAGAAUAUGUGCGACAGUAAACAGAAAUUGGCUGACAAAUUUAAAAAAUCUUGGUAAAAUUAAUUUUUUAACACACGAUCGUCUGUCUGCUGAUGAAAUUGCAGCACAGCCUUCUCUCGAAGAACUAGGAUCUAAUUGGACACGUAUUUAUAUUAAAGUUUAUGAAAAACAAUUUAGUAAUGCUAUACCACUACCACGAGAUAAACAUUCCACAAAUAUUAAAAUCCAAUCAGAUCUUACAUUUUCACAACUUUUACGUUACGUCUCCGAAACAAAUUAUCGUAAUUUAUGGAAAGAGUCAUACAAAAAAUACUACAGUAUAUGGAAUCUACAUGAAUCUAAAGAACAAACAUUACUGACACCAAGUAGUAAUGACGUUGCAGUAAUGCAUGAAGUAUUGUCAAGACUUUACGGUUGUCCACUGAUCCAUGUUAAAAAUAACCAAGUAAUUUCAGUAACACCUGGUGUAAAUAAUAAUUAUAACUUACAUUGCAACCUUUUACCCGCAAUGUUUGCCGUUGAAACGACGUCAGCUUUCAUGAUAUUUCAUGAACAAACAGCUAAAUUUUCCCUCCAUGAGUGUGUGAUGUACAGUCCUGCCACAUUGUCGACCAGUUACAAUAAACCAUUAUUUUUAGUCUAUCAAUUAUUGCAUUUGUCGAGAGAUCUUCACGAUUCGGGACUAGCCCUCGGUGAAAUAACUCUCAGUGAUAUUUUAUUAAUGGAUAAUUAUACAAUACAGGUACUGCCUAAAUUGGAUGACAAUAUUUAUUUGAAACCCGACGUCCAAACUCGUGCCCUUAUAGAAGAAAAUAAACCAAUAAAUUAUACUACUAAUAAAUUAUCAUCUAAUUCGUUCAAAAUGGACGGAACGAAAGCUCCCCCGAGCUUUGGAUUAAACGAAAACAUUGAGAGUCUCUGCGAGAUGUGGAUCUACGGUCAGAUCAGCAACUACGACUACUUGACAGCGCUAAAUAAUUUAGCUGGCCGCAGAUUCGGUGAUCCAAGUUGUCAUCAUGUGAUGCCCUGGGUAACGGACUUCAGUUCGCGGUCAGGAAAAAAUUGGCGUGACCUCACCAAGUCCAAGUUCCGUUUGAACAAAGGCGACAGGCAGCUUGAUUUGACAUUCGAUUCACAGACUUCUGAAGUAGGUCAUCACGUGUCUGAUGUUUUAUCAGAAAUAACUUACUACGUAUAUUUAUCACGAAGAUACACGCGAUCGGUACUUUGUAAACAUGUGAGAUCACAUUGGGUUCCUUGGGAGUAUCCGGCGUCUAUUCAACGUCUGCAGGAAUGGAGUCCCGACGAAUGCAUUCCACAAUUUUUUACGGACCCAAAUGUUUUCAAAUCAAUCCAUGAAGAUUUACCGGACCUGGAACUGCCGAGCUGGGCGCGUUCACCCGAGGACUUUAUAGAGAAACAUCGCGAGGCCCUGGAGAGCUUCUACGUAUCGGAGAGACUGCACCACUGGAUAGACUUAACAUUUGGCUACAAAUUGUCCGGAUUGCCAGCAAUUAAGUCCAAAAAUGUGUGCCUACAACUCGUUGACAAUCAUACUAAUUUAACAAAUUCCGGAGUGGUUCAACUAUUUACUCAUCCUCACCCACAGAAAAUAGUACCGUCGCCCUACUGGAGUAAAACCGCGCCGCGGUUGCGUAAUUUAACGCCAAAGAAAUCAAAGACUGACAAAUCAACAGACAAAGUAAGCGAUGACGAAGGACAUAGUUCUGGGUUCGAAGAAGUUGAAUCUCCUGUGACGACAUUAAACGUCACAAGAUCAUCCCCUCUGGCACUGAGCCGCUUACUGAGUCGUUCGCGUGGUUCUCUGCUAGCUGCCGACGAAAACUCACGAUCAGAAAAGACAACCAGCCAGACAAUCCAACUUCCCAAAGACUACAAUCCGGUCGCUGCGCUCAACCAGGUCGAGUCAGUGCACUCGUUCAUCAGCAAAGUGUCUCACAGAAUUUAUCAACCAGAGAUAAAUAACCAAACUGGGCUCGCGAGUUACAGACAAAUAGUUGCCUGUGCUCGCAUCAAGGAGCAGCAGAUCAUCGGCUGUUUAAUUGUUGAAAUUUUUAUGCCAAAUAAAUUCCGCGCGACCUGGAAUACCAGCAGGAUAUCAUUUUCUCGUAGACUUGAAACGUGUGUCAAUGUAUUGAAUAAGUUUCCGGAUUUGCUGCCAAAGUGCGUGAGGAACGCGGUCUGUCUUUUACUUCAAGUCGACAUAAUUCCCAAAAGCUACGGUAUCAAUAACGAGUGCGACCUGACAGGAGACAUUGAUAACUUCCGGUAUCCGACGGUAACGCACAUGGGAUUGCCACCGCCUUCAGCUCACCAAUUUCUCCAGCCGAUUUUAUCCAGCAGUCUUUUACCUUCACGUUACUUCCAGCAGCUGUUCCACGUUGUGCAGAUGCUCCAAGAGUACAACAGCCUGGUGCGUGAACUGAACUCCGUUAUUCGCGAAGACGACGCGGAGGCUUCAAAUACGCGGGUGCAAUUCUUGUGCAAAAUAAACGAGUGCAAAGUAAAAGCACUUGCUAGAGAAUUAGAGCGGCUUUUAUUAUCGUACACGGGAAAUUUGAAUGAUUUUAAUUCAAUUCUUAGAUUAAUUGUUCCUCAUAUUAAACAGAUAAUGGACGAACCCUACAGCGCAGUGUUGGCUGCUUGGUAUUUAUUCGACCCGAUAGGAAAAGCACUUGGACCAAAAGACACUGCCGAAACAUUCCUUGCGCCAAUAGUUAAAUUGUAUGAAAAUGGUUCGAUUAUUGACAGCAACAUUUACGCUGAUUAUUUACCUGUUGCGACUCUCGCUAAGUUUCGCACCAUGAGACUUUAUCACCGUAGUUUUCUUCUCAAACUGACGGUUCGUUUGGGCCUACGGCGAUUCCUAGAAAAUUUUAUUACGCCGCUGGUAGAAGCUGUCGGUUGUUAUCGAGACCACCCCCAGACCUCGAGUAUCAAUCGACAGCGAGCGGGAAAUCUCAAGAGCUGUGACCUGAGUGACAAUUGUGGCGAGGGUGAAGUGAUUUUAUCACCACUGGACGAGGAUUCUUCGGUGGACUCUGAGCAAAAUUUGAAUUCCAUCACGCUGGCCUGUGAUCCCGAAAGCUCACGCGAGACACCGACGAUAGAAAAUGAAGUCGAAGAAGUUUUCACCAUGGAAACGGAGGAAAUUUUAUCACCGUCGGACAAUAAAGUCCUGCGGGAUACCCACAUGGUGCUAAAUUUAAAUAUCAUCGACGACUUAGUCGACGAGGGAGUGCGCAAUUCACCUCCGGGUACGAUCAAGUCGCCGACGAUACCGAUACCCACUACGACGGAUCGUGGAAUUAAAUUGGUAGCAGACUUUAAUACAAUCGGCUGUCAUGUCGGAAGUAAAACAUCCAGCGAAGAUUUGCCGCUCUCUAGUUCUUACACAGGAAACAUUCAAACGUCAACUGCUGGAGAAACCAGCGCGUACGAUUCAGACAAAGCAAAGACUGCAUUUAAAAUAGACAUUGGAGCGACAUGUGAUGACGAACUGGACGAGUCUAAGGAUAAAAAUUACGAGGCCGAGGCUUUGACUCCUCGGGAAUGCAAAGUAUCGGAAAUUAGCACUGAGUCUGUCAUCUGGUUGUCGCAUCGACUGGGUCCAGUUCUUACGGCUCGUUAUCUAUCGCGAAAUCUUCUGCGCAUGCUGACACUCUGCUACGCGGGAAGCAAUAAUUUAGUAGCGAUAGACGAGGAUCUGUAUUCCGAAGAACUGCACUGGAGAAAAGUCCAGUUGGUUGGAGAUAUCAAUGCAAUGAAAGUAUUAGAAUCUUUGACAGCAAUAGCAAGUCUGUAUGGGGAACAAAUGAUCAUCUUGCAAUACUUGAGUCACAUGGCUGAAUUGCUGACGUUGUGCAAACGUAAAUUAACUCCUAACUUAGAAGGCGGACUGGUUUCAUGCCUAGCACUGCUGUCUUUCGUGACGCCCUGCCUAGGAGAUGCUUCGCUGAUGGACGCACUGCACGAGACGAUAGUAAAAUCUAUUUUACAUCCAACUGUCAGAAUUCUCUCGACCACCAGAUACUCAUUUCCCAGCGGCGUAAAUGCGCGCACUGCACUGGCCAAUAAAUGUCUCGAAGUAUUGUCGAGUCUCAGCAUCCGACUAGGCAGCGCUACCACGAAAACUCAUCUUUCUGUACCAAUCCAACGAUUUUUUUUGGCAUUCGACAAAGUUUUUAAUGCUCAGGGCCAAUUGCAAGAUGAAGAAAUUCCUAAAAAACGUGAUAAAUUUGAAGGCAAAAAAAUAAAUGACAGAAAUGAAUUUUUUAAAGAAUCAACGCAUGAUUGGACUCUAGUUGAUUCAUCUUCAAUGGGAAUUCAGGCCGCUGCAGCUGACAUGGCUGUCUCCUACUCACCUCCAAUAUUAGAUCACGACGAAACAAAUCCGCAGAGAAAUCAAGCAUUUGAAGAACUCAAAUCGGUAUUUACACUAGAGUUUGCUCACAAAGCAUAUUUACUUUUUUACCGUCACUUGGACGAAGGUGUGAUGGAAGAUUUAUUAAAAAAUCAUCAAUUGAUACGGGAGCUCUGCGAGCAGUACGAGCAAACUCUCCCUACAUGCGACAUUGGUUCAAGUAAAUCUGAUCCGACAUAUCUGCAGACUGCGGAAACUCCGUCUGAGAGCGACGUUAUCGUCAAAGGAAUCGGCAGCUUCGGUAAUAUUUCGGUAGUUGGUAAUAGAAUAGAAGUAGGCGAUACUCUGGACAAUUUAAAUCCGUCAAAUCGCGACGGGUCUGUCUCACACGGGCGCCAACUGCGUGGCAACUGGUUGGCAUACUGGGAACACGAAAUCGGUCGCCCUGACAAAGACUUGACCUUUAAUAUCAAACAAAUAAAACUCCAGAGCUUCAGCGGACACACCAAUAGCGUGAGAUGUUUGCACGUGUUGGACAACGAGAACAGUUUUAUGAGCGGUGCUCGCGACAAAACAGUAAAACUCUGGAGUAUCAGGAGCCAAGGUGACGGGACUGGAGUCUCUCCAUGCCAGUACACCUACACAGGGCACAAAAAAUCAAUUUUAGCUUUGACAUUCUUAGAAUCUCUACGAUACGCGGUUACUUGUGACGGCGCAGUCCACUGCUGGGAUCCAUUUAUGGGCUCAUUGCUCGGCUGUCCCGAGAGUGCACGCGCAGCUCCCGUUAAUGCUCUGGCAGCAAAUAAUACGCCUUCGACAUCACUAUUAGCAGCGACUACUGACGUGACACUUCACGUCAUAGACUGCCGUACUUUCUCGUACGUAAACGAGUUAAAAGUAGCCAUCAAUCCCGCGGGAUUGAUCAGGUGCAUCGCCGUGGCACCAAGUGGACACUGGGUAGCACUCGGCCAGGCCUCAGGAGUUCUUACCAUCCUUGACAUCAGGACCGGUCUGAUAAUCGCCUCAUGGAAGGGCCACGAGUGUGAAAUCCUACAGCUGGAAGCAGUUAACGAGACCACUAUCGUCAGUUCGUCACUGGACCAAACGAUUGCCGUGUGGAGUGCCGUCGACGGUAAAUUAAAAUUCCAUUUAAAAGGCGCCACUGAACCUGUUCACUGCAUGGCGCUCUACGAACAACAACUGAUUUCCGGUACAACCGCGAACCGAAUCGGCGUACACGCGGCAGUUGACAAUACCGCGGUAUUUUCAUCUUCGAAACUAAAAUCCGACGCUUUUAAAGGCGUACUCACUGCUAUGACCGUACUACCGCUAAAUAGACUUCUACUACUGGGAUCUGACAAUGGCGGUAUCACUUUACUCUGUUAAUUUAUUUACCUGAAAUAUAUUUAUUGCAUUGCGACGUCAGUUCUGGCUUUUAAAACCAUAAGAGCUGAAGAAGAGUCCAAACAACGGGAAUAAAUUUCGCGUUAUGUCAUGCUUCAAUUGAACAGCUCCACCAGCAUUGAAUUGGUUCUCCAAGACAACUCCUUCAAAGAGAUACUGGUCUAGCUGAGAGGCGACGUUCCUCCAUGCUUGAU